CAAGCCAGGGGCGGCAAAACACACCGGUAACUUUCUCUCAACAGCUCCCGAAACUUUGGGAGGACACGCACCUUCCAACAGCUCCAACCGGGAGAGCUUCCAGACCUCCCCCGAAACUGCAAAGGAAGCCCGGAGAAAGCUGAGGAAACUUAAGGCAGAGCAGGGUAUCUCCAGCAAGGAGAAGUUCUCAUCGCUCGGCUGGGCUCCCCUCCGGAGGACGGCUCUCACCCGCCCACCCCAAACGCCGACAUGGCACGCUUCGAAGGCUGACCAGCGACGCCUGCCCAGCCGACUGCCCCCGGCUCUGCCCCGGGGACCGGCGGCCACCGCCAGCCGCUUCUCCCGGAGGAGGAGAAGGGACGCGCGGCUCCCUCCCGCGGCCCCGCUCGCCCCCCGGCCGCUGGACGGAGAGGAGAAGCCCCGAGGGGAGCCCGCCCCCCCCACCCCACUCACCCAGCAGCGCCCGGAGGUGCUUGAGGCGGGGCUAGAGAGAGGAGGAGGUCUUCAAGGGAAGUUCUCCAGGGAAAAUCCUGCCUGUGAGUCCUGAUGCAGCAGGUCACCACCUUCUCUGAAAAACAGAGCCGGGUCCACAGCCCGCAGAGGGACAGGUCUGGUUUUGAAGAGAAGAGCUGCCCAAGUCUGGGGGAAGACCCAUAGCAAAAGCUGAGCCAACGGGUCCUAUGGAUGGAGGUGUUGCAGAGUCACGCACGGGAACAUCCCUGGCUUUACCUGGCCAGAUUUUCCAUCAGCAGAUUACAAGGUUAUCCCCAUGAAUGGCUCUGCUGGCAGAGGGACGGGGUCUUCCCCGGCGUGGGCUCAGCACCGGCCUCCUGCCCUGCACCGACGGGGAGAGCAGGGUCCGGCCAUCGCCGCUCACUCUCCCGCUCCUCCAGCACCUGCGGCUCUUCACAUCCCUCUUUAA